UUUACUAACAGUUCGUAAGUUGUGCGUAAGUUUUUACGUACAUUUUCAACUUACGUAAAUAAUACGAAUUGCGUACGUGCGUUUUACUAAAAUUUCGUAAGUGUAAAUAUUUGCGUAGGAAUAAAUAAUGCGUAACUCUCCGAUUGGAGGUAGAAAUCUCUCUUGGCGCGCACCUGUCAAAAAGAUAAACAAUGGCGACGCCGCAAAAGUUUAAAAGGAAAGAGAAUUGGUCCAGAGCAGAGCAUGAAAUGCUGAGGUAUUCAUUCCUUGAUGAAAGCCAUGCCAUUGAAAGCAAGUCCAACCAUUACUCAUGUCGAUGAAGAAAAAUCGUGGAAGAGGAAUGAAAAGAGACUGAAUGCCCAGGGUGUCUGCAUUAGAACUCUUGAUGAGUUUAAUAAGAAAUUAACCAACAUCAAGAUGGACGUGAAGAGGAGGCGUCAGAUGGCAGCGCUGACAGGUGGUGUGACUCCGUAUCUGUUCUGAUACAUAGAAGGGCCACUUCUGGCCUAUAUAUCUACGGGGUGACUCCUCCAAAGUUCAAUGAGCAGGAGGAGAAGAAACAAGUCCAUCAUCUUUGGUGCUGCACCAUACUGCCAAAACAGCUACAUGUUCAUCGUUUGCAGUUAUGUCAAUUUACCUCCAACAUAGUGUUUCCUGCAAUGUCCCAGGGGGCUGCCAUGAUUCCAAAAAGUACAACACCAACUGCAGCAAAAGUGACAAGAGUUUCCAAGAUUCCAUCUACAAGCAACUUGAAAAGACUUCUUAAAUGCCAGAGUGAGCUCUAUGAGCAAAUAUUACAUCAACAAAAACUGACAAUUGACUGUCUCCUUUAUUACAAUUUAUUUCAUGAAUGAUAACUUAAAUAAAAUGUGACUCAGCAACUGUUUUAAAUCAACAAACAUUCUAACAUAAACCUUUGAAGUCUUAUAGUAGAAUCAUAUACCUGGAAGUCUUUGAUUAUUUUAUCUACUUAAAAAACUCACAAUCCACUUAAAUAUUGCUGACACUUGAAGCUUUUCAUAUUUUAUUCACUAUUGCAUUUAAUAAAUCUUUAUUUACCUGUCAACCUAUUCAUAUUCAAGUAAUCUAAUAUUAAAAUACAUAUGGAAAAGCACUUUCAUUUAAAGUGACAUCUAUCAAACAUUGUAAUCACAAAAAAGGGGCUCAUAAUCAUACAUUUUAUGAUAUGGUAUUUUUUUACCAAUAGCUGAAUGUGUAAAUUGGUUAUUGUUUAGAGAGAUAAUAUGUCAAUUUAUUUGUUUUGUAAAUGUGUUUUUAAAUUGUUAUUUAUACUGUCAACACUAUUUUAACAUAUUUAUGAUUGUCAGCCUUCAUGUACUGUUUUGUUCAUUGUUAUAAUCAUCUUCUCCAUAAGUAAUGUCAGUGAUUAUCAAAAUGAUACCGCAUCAAAUUCAUGUAUAAUCAUUUUUAAAGGGACUUGUUCAUGUUUUAUAUGGUUAGACAUUGAUUUUUUUAUUUCCUAUGAAAUGUGAACAAAAUGCUUGUAGCAAUGAUAAAACACUACAAAAGUUUAAAUAAGCUCAGAAAAUAUGGCAUAAAAUGCUUUAUUUUGCCAAAGUCAGGCUAUU